GUGUACUAUAAGGGCUGAGAGACCAGACUUGUAUUUCAACCCUGACACCCUCAUGGCUAUGUGAACUUGGGCUGAACUUCCUGGAAAAAUGGUCUGCUUAUCCAGUGAAAUUCGGAGAAUUCUUCCCCCGCCCCCCACGGGCUCCUCUCCACAGAAGCAGCCGAAGCUGCGCACGCCUCCACGCGGUCUCUCAAAGGAGACACUCCAGGAAUGCACCUGCCCCGAAGGAAGACCAUGGGAAUCCCAGGGAGACAAUGGCCAUCUGCAAGCCAAGGAGAGAGGCCUCUGGAGAAGCCAAACCUGUCAACACCUUGAUCUUGGAUUCCAGCCUCCAAAACUAUGAGAAAAUACAUUCCUGCUGUUUAAGCCACUCAGUCUAUGAUAUUUGAUCAGGGCUGCUCUAGCAGACUAAUACAGUAGGAACCAAGGCCCUUUCAGUACCAUCUUUGGAGCAUGAGAGUUUGGGACAAGUGACUGGAGAUGCCCUGAUUUGGAGAAUUAUGUACUCCGGCACUUGAAUGUGAUGGAGAUCUGGUGCCACACUGCACUAUGCCACUGUGGUAUGCCAAUUGCUUCUAACUGAAGAGAAUUGGGAAACAGCAGACUGCAGCAAAAGCUCUUUACCCUCCCACUUCUUCUUAAAAACAGUGCAUAAAUUACCCUUUGUGAAGGCAUCCUCACCCUUGUCCCCUACCAAGAAGAUCAGAGUGACUCCUACCUGCCCGGACAGGCACUAAGAGAAAUGUGCGUAAUACACUUUACUAAAAUAACCCUAAUUUUCCAUUAGGUUUGCCCUAUAUUUACCUUCCCGUAGUUUACUGCCCCUUAAGUCUCAAAAGCUUUUCCUUUGCUUUGUCAUUUCUCUCUAAGUUCAUUGCCCUGAGUUCAAAUGGUAUAUAAAUCUGACUGCCUCUUUGGGGUUUUUGUUUUGUUUCUGUGAGCCCCCCCCCAUAUGCAUCCGAAAUAAACAUCUUCUCCUAUGAA